rnacentral:rRNA from 1 species
ACUGCUCAGUAACACGUGGCUACCUGCCCUUGGGAUAGGAAUACCCCCGGGAAACUGGGGCUAAUUCUCAAUAGGCGAAGAACUCUGGAAUGAGUCUUCACCAGAAAAGAGCUUACGUUAUGCUCGUAAGUUUCGCCCAAGGAUGGGGCCGCGGCCGAUCAGGUUGUUGGUGAGGUAAUGGCUCACCAAGCCUUUUACCGGUGCGGGCCGUGGGAGCGGGAGCCCGGAGAUGGGCACUGAGACAAGGGCCCAGGCCCUACGGGGCGCAGCAGUCGCGAAAACUUUGCAAUACACGAAAGUGUGACAGGGCUAUCCCGAGUGCCAUCCGCUGAGGAAGGCUUUUACCCAGUCUAGAACACUGGGGGAAUAAGGAGAGGGCAAGUCUGGUGUCAGCCGCCGCGGUAAUACCAGCUCUCCGAGUGGUGUGGAUGUUUAUUGGGCCUAAAGCAUCCGUAGCUGGCUAGGUAAGUCCUUUGUUAAAUCCACCGAAUUAAUCGUUGGAUCGCGGGGGAUACUGCUUGGCUAGGGGACGAGAGAGGCAGACGGUAUUCUCGGGGUAGGGGUGAAAUCCUAUAAUCCCGGGAAGACCACCAGUGGCGAAGGCUGUCUGCUAGAACGCGCCCGACGGUGAGGGAUGAAAGCUGGGGGAGCGAACCGGAUUAGAUACCCGGGUAGUCCCAGCUGUAAACGAUGCAGACUAGGUGUUUGGACGGCCACGUGCCGUUCUAGUGCCGCAGGGAAGCUGUUAAGUCUGCCGCCUGGGGAGUACGAUCGCAAGAUUGAAACUUAAAGGAAUUGGCGGGGGAGCACCACAAGGGGUGAAGCUUGCGGUUUAAUUGGAUUCAACGCCGGG